rnacentral:lncRNA from 1 species
UGGAAGUCCACAAGUUAUUCAGGCAUCAGUUACUGGUUUUGAUUCCUGAAGGCAGCAGCAAGCAUGUAGAUAUGAAUGAAGAUUAUUAAGAUCAAUCGUGAAGAUUAUUAAGAUCAAUCGAGAUAGAGCCAUUAUUAUUAAUUAACUAAUAAUAAUAAUAACGUGUAUCCUGAGAGAUACCAAACAACUUGACUAAUGUUUCAAGAAGGCAAAUUAAUCAAAGUGAACUGCUGGAAGCAUACAACAAAUCAGCAAAGUAAAGCUAUAGAUGCACGGAGCAGACGCAGCUUUGCAAGUGUUGACGGUUCGUAAGUAUCAAUUUUAAUUAUUAAAU